rnacentral:rRNA from 1 species
UAGGGAAUCUUCGGCAAUGGGGGCAACCCUGACCGAGCAACGCCGCGUGAGUGAAGAAGGUUUUCGGAUCGUAAAGCUCUGUUGUAAGAGAAGAACGAGUGUGAGAGUGGAAAGUUCACACUGUGACGGUAACUUACCAGAAAGGGACGGCUAACUACGUGCCAGCAGCCGCGGUAAUACGUAGGUCCCGAGCGUUAUUCGGAUUUAUUGGGCGUAAAGCGAGCGCAGGCGGUUAGAUAAGUCUGAAGUUAAAGGCUGUGGCUUAACCAUAGUACGCUUUGGAAACUGUUUAACUUGAGUGCAGAAGGGGAGAGUGGAAUUCCAUGUGUAGCGGUGAAAUGCGUAGAUAUAUGGAGGAACACCGGUGGCGAAAGCGGCUCUCUGGUCUGUAACUGACGCUGAGGCUCGAAAGCGUGGGGAGCAAACAGGAUUAGAUACCCUGGUAGUCCACGCCGUAAACGAUGAGUGCUAGGUGUUGGGUCCUUUCCGGGACUCAGUGCCGCAGCUAACGCAUUAAGCACUCCGCCUGGGGAGUACGACCGCAAGGUUG